GGCCUGUCUCUCCUCCCCAUCCUCUCUGCCUUACCCAACCCUCUCUCCCAUCCCAUCCAGCGACUUUCUCUCUGCUGCCUCAGACCCUGGAUUAGCGGUCCUUGCAUGAUGAGCCCUUCUUUGUUUAUUUCUCCUUUAACCUGCUUGAAAGAACUCCUUUCUCCUUCGUGGGGAAGCAAGUUGGGAUGGAGCAAGGGCUCUUCCUACCCUACCGUAAGAUAUCGUAGGAUAGACAGCACAGAAGACUACGUUGAGCAUCUAAGAGGAUGUUGUGACCUUGGUCCUGUCAUCUUCAAGACUUGCUGGCUUGUAUUCUGUUUUGUGAUCACUCCCCACAGGGGAACUCUCAGAACUGGGUCUCCUGCCUCUAGGACAUUGUGACCCAAACUGACUGUAAGAUGUGAGUGCCCAGUUCAGCGUAGUUGAUAAUUUAAGGUGACUGUGUUCUGUUAGCUAACUGUUAGAGAGGAAAGGAAGUGAAAUUCAUUAAUUCAUAAACUAUUCAUUCACUCCACUUUCUAUGUCAGGAUUGAAGUAAGGAAGGGAUUGAUUCAUUCUGACAAGCCAUUUGUAUAAGCGUUUAUUUGUAAAAAAUUAAUUUUGAAGUGUUGCUUUCUCUCAUAAAACACUAGGAAAUAUAAAUUAUAUUUACCUUAAGUUUGUGUCUUCUCUAUGAAUAUAUUCCGUGACCUGAAACAGGCUACAAAGGAAAGUACCUGGGCCUUAACACUGCUCACCAACUGCUCAAAUCAAGUCAAACCUGAGUCUGUAAACAGGAUGGUAAAAUCGUUAGGCCCUGGAUAAAGAUUUUUCUCACCAGGAUAACAGUCUCCAGACAACACUGGAAACAGCUACGUCUUCUGCCAAGGUUCAUCAACACAAACUGCUCUUCUCACAAGCCAUCCAGAGAGUCAUGACUUCUAAUGGAAAGAAAGCAUCAUAAUGAAAGCAAGGAGCAGCAACUCUGCAAGGCUUCAGUUAAGAUGUGCAGAAACAUUCUAGCAUGGACUCUCCAUUUUCCCAGUCUCUGUGCAUGAUUUACUUAAACUGACUUGUGAGCACUAUAAUAUCAAUCUCUAACAUGACAUCAAAGUUUAAACUGUGUGAAUCAUAUGCAUCUCAGAAAAAGUAUAUUUGUGAGGAUUCAAAAUAUCUAAAUGAAUAUAUUUAAUAUCUAGAUUUUUUUAUUAUAAAAUAGAACCUUAUCAUCAAUUAGAAACUUCACUGCUGCCAAAUUCUUCUAAUUAGAGGUUGGAGAUAUUUCUUAGUUGAUAGACUGCCUGCCUAGCAUGCAUGAGGUCUGGGGUUUGAGUCUCAGAACCUCCAAACCUGGUCAUAAUGACACCUGCUUCUAAUCUCAGCACUCAGAUGAUAAAGAUGGAGAAUCAGAGACUCAGAGAUAACCUUGGCUACAUGAGACUGUCUCAGAAAACAGAAUGAAUAAUAAAACCCACUGAUAGUUGCUGUACUUGGGGCACCACAGUUCCCUCUUAAUAUAAAACUUCUUGAGCAACCUGCAAAAGGGAGAUCACCUUGGUGAUCCUCUGCUCCUGAAGCAGGUCGUACCCCAAGGAGAGAUGUUCUCACAGUUCAGAAUCAUAGCCUCAGACCUUCAUGGGAACAGCAUUGCUGAAGACCAGGGACAGAGAAGGGAGCUGAUUAAGCCUUGCCAUGCAUCCCUCAGCUCAUGACCAGAGAGCAUGCGCUAGCUGCAGCCUGGGCUUUCUCUCAUCAGC
rnacentral:lncRNA from 1 species